rnacentral:rRNA from 1 species
UACGGAGGGUGCAAGCGUUAUCCGGAUUCACUGGGUUUAAAGGGUGCGUAGGUGGGCAGGUAAGUCAGUGGUGAAAUCUCCGGGCUUAACUCGGAAACUGCCAUUGAUACUAUCUUUCUUGAAUAUUGUGGAGGUCAGCGGAAUAUGUCAUGUAGCGGUGAAAUGCUUAGAUAUGACAUAGAACACCAAUUGCGAAGGCAGCUGGCUACGCAUAUAUUGACACUGAGGCACGAAAGCGUGGGGAUCAAACAGG